UACGGGGGGGGCAAGCGUUGUUCGGAAUUACUGGGCGUAAAGGGCUCGUAGGCGGCCAACUAAGUCAGACGUGAAAUCCCUCGGCUUAACCGGGGAACUGCGUCUGAUACUGGAUGGCUUGAAUCCGGGAGAGGGAUGCGGAAUUCCAGGUGUAGCGGUGAAAUGCGUAGAUAUCAGGAGGAACACCAAUGGCGAAGGCAGCUCGCUGGGACGUGACUGACGCUGAGACGCGAAAGCGUGGGGAGCAAACAGG
rnacentral:rRNA from 1 species